UACAGAGGUCCCGAGCGUUGUUCGGAUUCACUGGGCGUAAAGGGUGCGUAGGUGGUGGCGAAAGUUUGACGUGAAAUCUCCAGGCUCAACCUGGAAACUGCGUUGAAAACUGCGUUGCUUGAGGUUUGGAGGGGGGACUGGAAUUCUCGGUGUAGCAGUGAAAUGCGUAGAUAUCGAGAGGAACACCAGUGGCGAAGGCGAGUCCCUGGACAACACCUGACACUGAGGCACGAAAGCUAGGGGAGCAAACAGG
rnacentral:rRNA from 1 species